rnacentral:ncRNA from 2 species
CCCCAGCAUCAAGAGUUGGGCUGGCGCCCAACACCAACCUGCCUUCCCGGGCAAGGUGGUGGUUCCGGUAACGGAACGAUGCGGCCUGAACCGGCAACUAUACGGGAACGA